rnacentral:piRNA from 1 species
GUCUGUAGAGGUUGGGGACAACUGGCAG